UCGAGCGGACAGAUGGGAGCUUGCUCCCUGAUGUUAGCGGCGGACGGGUGAGUAACACGUGGGUAACCUGCCUGUAAGACUGGGAUAACUCCGGGAAACCGGGGCUAAUACCGGAUGGUUGUUUGAACCGCAUGGUUCAAACAUAAAAGGUGGCUUCGGCUACCACUUACAGAUGGACCCGCGGCGCAUUAGCUAGUUGGUGAGGUAACGGCUCACCAAGGCAACGAUGCGUAGCCGACCUGAGAGGGUGAUCGGCCACACUGGGACUGAGACACGGCCCAGACUCCUACGGGAGGCAGCAGUAGGGAAUCUUCCGCAAUGGACGAAAGUCUGACGGAGCAACGCCGCGUGAGUGAUGAAGGUUUUCGGAUCGUAAAGCUCUGUUGUUAGGGAAGAACAAGUACCGUUCGAAUAGGGCGGUACCUUGACGGUACCUAACCAGAAAGCCACGGCUAACUACGUGCCAGCAGCCGCGGUAAUACGUAGGUGGCAAGCGUUGUCCGGAAUUAUUGGGCGUAAAGGGCUCGCAGGCGGUUUCUUAAGUCUGAUGUGAAAGCCCCCGGCUCAACCGGGGAGGGUCAUUGGAAACUGGGGAACUUGAGUGCAGAAGAGGAGAGUGGAAUUCCACGUGUAGCGGUGAAAUGCGUAGAGAUGUGGAGGAACACCAGUGGCGAAGGCGACUCUCUGGUCUGUAACUGACGCUGAGGAGCGAAAGCGUGGGGAGCGAACAGGAUUAGAUACCCUGGUAGUCCACGCCGUAAACGAUGAGUGCUAAGU
rnacentral:rRNA from 1 species